ensembl:lncRNA
GAAGGUAAGGCUGCUUUUCGGUUGUCAGCAUUGAUUGAGCUCUAAGGCAGCAUGUAGACGCUUCGCUGUAGCUGAAUGGAGAAAAUCUUACUCCGUCUCAUUAUCGAGAACACACAUCCAACAUACGGCUCCUGUAAGCUGUAUUAUUAACUUUGACAGAGCCAUGUCCCCCGGCUGUCCUGUGAAUUGAAGCGAUGGAGAGCUCGUCCUCCACAGUGAGGCGGCGAGCAUGGAUCAACAGCAGCCGUCAGCGGGUCACUUUGGAAGACCCGGAAGGGCCUCUGUGCCCGUUCCCAUCUGCCUCCAUAGCGGACGAUGAUGUGUUCUCUGAUGGAUGCCUUGCAGGAAAGAUUGAGAACUGGCUUCUCAGCUGUGGGUCAGAUGCCUGCUCAGAGAACAGCGGUCAGCUGAGUUUUGAGUCUGUGCUCCAAGCCGGUAACUUUGCUGAUGACCUGGGUCUUGGAGCAGAUGGUAAGCAUACGCUGUAUAUGUUCAUGCAUGGGAAGACAAAUAUACAUGACUGCAUGCAUACUUAGUGUUAUCCUAAAGGAAUUUUAGGAAUUACAUAGAUUUUUGCCUGGGGUUAGCUCUCUGUGUCAGCUCCCUAGUACAAAGAGUGUGCGAUGUGCCACUGAGUCAGUGUGAGAAUAGCAAAGGAGUGUUUCUGGAUAAUUCACAUUGAUUGACUGGAGAUGUCAAAGGUCCUGCCCCUUGCUCUCUCUGCUAACUCUUCUAAAUCAGACUGAGUGUUUGUCUUCA